GACGAACGCUGGCGGCGUGCCUAACACAUGCAAGUCGAGCGAGUGAAUCUCCUUCGGGAGUGAAGCUAGCGGCGGACGGGUGAGUAACACGUGGGCAACCUGCCUCAUAGAGGGGAAUAGCCUUUCGAAAGGAAGAUUAAUACCGCAUAAGAUUGUAGCUUCGCAUGAAGUAGCAAUUAAAGGAGCAAUCCGCUAUGAGAUGGGCCCGCGGCGCAUUAGCUAGUUGGUGAGGUAACGGCUCACCAAGGCGACGAUGCGUAGCCGACCUGAGAGGGUGAUCGGCCACGAUUGGGACUGAGACACGGCCCAGACUCCUACGGGAGGCAGCAGUGGGGAAUAUUGCACAAUGGGGGAAACCCUGAUGCAGCGACGCCGCGUGAGUGAUGAAGUAUUCGGUAUGUAAAAACUCUAAUCAGCAGGGAAGAUAAUGACGGUACCUGACUAAGAAGCACCGGCUAAA
rnacentral:rRNA from 1 species